rnacentral:rRNA from 1 species
GUCGAGCGGUAAGGCCCUUCGGGGUACACGAGCGGCGAACGGGUGAGUAACACGUGGGUGAUCUGCCCUGCACUUCGGGAUAAGCCUGGGAAACUGGGUCUAAUACCGGAUAUGACCAAAGGCUGCAUGGUUUUUGGUGGAAAGGUUUACUGGUGCAGGAUGGGCCCGCGGCCUAUCAGCUUGUUGGUGGGGUAAUGGCCUACCAAGGCGACGACGGGUAGCCGACCUGAGAGGGUGACCGGCCACACUGGGACUGAGACACGGCCCAGACUCCUACGGGAGGMAGCAGUGGGGAAUAUUGCACAAUGGGCGAAAGCCUGAUGCAGCGACGCCGCGUGAGGGAUGACGGCCUUCGGGUUGUAAACCUCUUUCAGCAGGGACGAAGCGAAAGUGACGGUACCUGCAGAAGAAGCACCGGCCAACUACGUGCCAGCAGCCGCGGUAAUACGUAAGGUGCAAGCGUUGUCCGGAAUUACUGGGCGUAAAGAGCUCGUAGGCGGUUUGUCGCGUCGUCUGUGAAAACUCGAGGCUCAACCUCGAGCUUGCAGGC